UACCGAGGUCUCAAGCGUUGUUCGGAUUCAUUGGGCGUAAAGGGUGCGUAGGCGGCGCGGUAAGUCGGGUGUGAAAUCUCGGAGCUUAACUCCGAAACUGCAUUCGAUACUGCCGUGCUUGAGGACUGGAGAGGAGACUGGAAUUUACGGUGUAGCGGUGAAAUGCGUAGAUAUCGUAAGGAAGACCAGUGGCGAAGGCGGGUCUCUGGACAGUUCCUGACGCUGAGGCACGAAGGCCAGGGGAGCAAACGGG
rnacentral:rRNA from 1 species